rnacentral:rRNA from 1 species
UACGUAGGGUGCGAGCGUUGUCCGGAAUUAUUGGGCGUAAAGAGCUCGUAGGCGGCUUGUCGCGUCGGAUGUGAAAGCCCGGGGCUUAACCCCGGGUCUGCAUUCGAUACGGGCAGGCUGGAGUGCGGUAGGGGAGAUCGGAAUUCCUGGUGUAGCGGUGAAAUGCGCAGAUAUCAGGAGGAACACCGGUGGCGAAGGCGGGUCUCUGGGCCGUUACUGACGCUGAGGAGCGAAAGCGUGGGGAGCGAACAGG